rnacentral:rRNA from 1 species
GACGAACGCUGGCGGCGUGCUUAACACAUGCAAGUCGAACGGAAAGGCCCUGCUUUUGUGGGGUGCUCGAGUGGCGAACGGGUGAGUAACACGUGAGUAACCUGCCCUUGACUUUGGGAUAACUUCAGGAAACUGGGGCUAAUACCGGAUAGGAGCUCCUGCUGCAUGGUGGGGGUUGGAAAGUUUCGGCGGUUGGGGAUGGACUCGCGGCUUAUCAGCUUGUUGGUGGGGUAGUGGCUUACCAAGGCUUUGACGGGUAGCCGGCCUGAGAGGGUGACCGGCCACAUUGGGACUGAGCUACGGCCCAGACUCCUACGGGAGGCAGCAGUGGGGAAGAUUGCACAAUGGGCGGAAGCCUGAUGCAGCAACGCCGCAUGCGGGAUGACGGCCUUCGGGUUGUAGACCGCUUUCGCCUGUGACGAAGCGUGAGUGACGGUAAUGGGUAAAGAAGCACCGGCUAACUACGUG